CAGUGGGGAAUCUUAGACAAUGGGCGCAAGCCUGAUCUAGCCAUGCCGCGUGAGUGACGAAGGCCUUAGGGUCGUAAAGCUCUUUCGCCAGGGAUGAUAAUGACAGUACCUGGUAAAGAAACCCCGGCUAACUCCGUGCCAGCAGCCGCGGUAAUACGGAGGGGGUUAGCGUUGUUCGGAAUUACUGGGCGUAAAGCGCGCGUAGGCGGACUAUUAAGUUAGGGGUGAAAUCCCGGGGCUCAACCCCGGAACUGCCUCUAAUACUGGUAGUCUUGAGUUCGAGAGAGGUGAGUGGAAUUCCGAGUGUAGAGGUGAAAUUCGUAGAUAUUCGGAGGAACACCAGUGGCGAAGGCGGCUCACUGGCUCGAUACUGACGCUGAGGUGCGAAAGUGUGGGGAGCAAACAGGAUUAGAUACCCUGGUAGUCCACACCGUAAACGAUGAAUGCCAGACGUCGGCAAGCAUGCUUGUCGGUGUCACACCUAACGGAUUAAGCAUUCCGCCUGGGGAGUACGGUCGCAAGAUUAAAACUCA
rnacentral:rRNA from 1 species